GGAAAGGAAAGAACACAAACCCUAGUUCGGAAAAUUGAAGAAAAAGUGUGGGAUUUCAAGGGAUUAAGCUAAUAAAGGUAAAAUUUUGUGAUUUUAUCUUGUGAUUUACAAUACCCAUGCUUUCUUUUUCGUUUUCCAUGCUUAGAACUCAAGUUUGCAUGAUGAACCCAUGCUGGCCAAAUUUGAGAGGAGAGGUUUUGAGCAUUGAUUUUGCUAGAUUUCAAGCUAAUUAAGUGUUUUUGGUUGUUUGGUAAUGGAAAGUAUGAAAAUUUAGUAAGGAAUCACUUUGUUCUUCACAAACCCACAAGAGACCGAAUUUUCUAGGGAGGAUAUUGUGGCUGAAAUUGAUGAUAUUUCAUGAUAUAUUGGUGGUAUUUAAUGAUUGGUGAGGCUAGAAAUUUAAUGGGAAAAUUUGGCAUGAAAAUCUGAAUUUUUAUCGAAUGUAUAGACAUGUGCAAUUUAUGGUCCAGACUAAUAAAUUGAAUCAUAUUCACAUUCAUUGAGGCAUUUUAAGUAUAAUUGGAGUGUAGAAAGUGAAAGAAAUCUAUUUGGAGUUAAAUUGGAGGUUUUAGCCAAUUACACCGAGAAUAAUACGAAUUAGGUCGAAUACCGUAUUUAAACGGCUAUUCAGACAUUUUGCGUCACAUUUCGUGCAUUCAUAUAGAUUUAUAGAGCCUGAAAUAGUUUAUGAUAAAUUGACACAAUUUAUUGAAAUUCGUGUCACGUAUGAUGUAUAGGUGGUGAGCCCUCUAACAAGGAAAAAGAGAUUGUGGCCAAAGACCGAGAAUAGGAGUAUAUCGAACUCCUAGUACUGUUAGUAACCUUAUCAUCAUCUUAAUUAUCUAAAGUAUGUUUAUUUGAUUUGUGAAUUUUAUGGAAAAUGAAUUAAAUGAUUAAUUUUUCGAUUUUAUAAACAAAAUGUGAUUUAAUAAAAUGAUUUCAUAAAAUUGUUUUAAAAUUGAAUGAUGGUUUGAAAAUAGAGUAAUUGGAGACGGUUUCAUGUGUUGUAAAUUCAUGGUUUGAAUCGAACGACUUAUGAUAAUAUUUCCAUGAAUCGCUGAACUGGUAUUUGUGUUGAAAUAUAUAUGAACUAUGUAUUUAGCCUUGAAAGGCUGUGAAUUACGAUAAUUGCCAUAUCAUGUUAUUGAAUUUUAUUGAUUGGUGGGAUAAUUAUUAGCUUACUACAGUAAGCGGGUUCCGUAAACCAGCCUGUUAGAGGAGCACAGUAACCCCGUUAUAUUCUUACCUCAGUAUGAGAGGUGCGGGUGGAUAACUCCUGAGGCUAACACUUUUAGUGUUCACUUCACGUCAAACCACCACGUGAGGGGGAACUCAGCCAACGUCAAGGAACGGUUAUGUUUUCAAAAUUAAAACAUGAUUUAUGCGUAUAUAACUUUUUAACAGCCUUGGCAGACUCGGUUUGGAAUAGCCUUCGGCCAAGGUAUCCUUGAUAACUGAGUAUGAUAAUGAUUUUGGCACAAGUCAAAGUUUUAAGAAAUUCAUAAGCCAUGUUAAUUACUCGAUUUAUAUGAAUUGAUUUAAAUUGGUUGAAACAAGUUGAAAGGUGAUGAAUUUCAGUGUGUUAAACUGUUUUAUCUGUCUCAAUUUACUCGACUUUAGAUGGUUUAGAUGGUAUCUAUUUACUAACUAGAUUUUACAAUCUCACCACCCUUCUUUUCAACCAUUUCAGGCCCGGGGUAGCAUGUCGAUAGCAGAUAUCAUCAAGGAUUAUAGUCCGCUUUACUACUCCAAAAACUGUAGGUUUACGGCCUUUAUGCACUUUUGUUUUUUGUGGGCCCACGAGUCACUAUAAAGUAAAUUUCAUAUCCCGGUUAUCUGUAUUAUAGUACGUAUGAAUUUAUUUAGCUUUUACAUUACAAAAAUUAUUUACCGAUGACUCUAUAAAUAUUGUUUUACAAGAAAUUAGAAUAUUUUAUUGAAUAGUUUUAUUUUAUUCAAAUAGUUGCAAUAUUAUUUUUAAUAAAUAUUUU
rnacentral:lncRNA from 1 species